AAAGGUGAAAUUAAUAAUAUUGUUUUAUAAGAGAACUUGUGAUAGAAGCUAAGAAAUCUUUAAAAUAAACUAGGAUUAGAUACCCUAUUAUAUUAAGAUUUAAUUAUUUAAUGCUAGAUUAUUAAUAGAUAUUUUCUUUAAAUUUAAAGAAUUUGGCGGUGAUUUAGCCUAGUCAGAGGAACCUGCUUUUUAAUCGAUACAACACGUAAAAGCUUACUUAAGUUUGUAUACCAUCAUUAUCGGAUAAUUUUAUAAAAAAUAAAAUUAUUAAAAAUAAUUAUAUUAGUAAAAUUAGAUCAAGGUGCAGCUUAUAGAUAAGUUGAAGUGGGUUACAAUAAGGUUUACUUAAACGGAAUAAGGUUUAGGAAGGAGGAUUUGAUUGUAAUAAAAUUUAAUAAGUUUAGGAGAUAGGAGCUCUGAAUUGCGUACAUAUCGCCCGUCGCUUUC
rnacentral:rRNA from 1 species